GCCAAAAUAGCUCAGUUGGGAGAGCGUCAGACUGAAAUCUGAAGGUCCCUGGUUCAAUCCGGAGAGUUUGUA
rnacentral:tRNA from 1 species